AUUGGCAGGGUCCUUUACAUAGUCAGGUUGUCAAUUCAUAAUGUUUCUUAUAUCAUAAUUCUUCUUAAAUCAUAUUUCAUAUCCUAAUUUCGAUAAUAAAAUAUAUAAUCAUGUAAUAUCGAAAUCAAUCAAUAUAAUGCAUCAUAGAAUCAAUAUGUUUAAUCAUGCUUCAUCAUAACAUUUCAAAUAAGAUAUUUUCAUAACAAAAUACCAUUCUUCCAAUUCAUGCAUCGUUUCACAAAUCAUGUCAGAAAAAUAUAUUAUAAUUUAUCGAUAAAUCUAAAAAAAGUGAAACAUUACUUACCUC
rnacentral:lncRNA from 1 species